UCGAGAAUCUUCGGCAAUGGGCGCAAGCCUGACCGAGCGACGCCGCGUGGAGGACGAAGGCCUUCGGGUUGUAAACUCCUGUCGAGGGGGAGAGCUUACAUCUGGAGGAAGCACGGGCUAAGUUCGUGCCAGCAGCCGCGGUAAGACGAACCGUGCGAACGUUAUUCGGAAUCACUGGGCUUAAAGCGCGUGUAGGCGGAUCGGUGCGUCGCGCCUGAAAUCCCCCGGCUCAACCGGGGAACGUGGCCCGAAACGACCGAUCUGGAGGGACGUAGGGGGGUCUGGAACUUCCGGUGGAGCGGUGAAAUGCGUUGAGAUCGGAAGGAACGCCCGUGGCGAAAGCGAGACCCUGGACGUCUACUGACGCUGAGACGCGAAAGCUAGGGGAGCGAACGGGAUUAGAUACCCGUGUAGU
rnacentral:rRNA from 1 species